rnacentral:sRNA from 1 species
CCAAGGUUCGACUCGAGCGAAGCGAGAGAACGUUGCCGCAGGCAAUGGCCCGAAGGCGAGGCGCUUUAGCGCCGAGUAAUCCUUCCCCCACCACUG